AUUGAACGCUGGCGGCAUGCCUUACACAUGCAAAGUCGAACGGCAGCACGGGAGCAAUCCUGGUGGCGAGUGGCGAACGGGUGAGUAAUAUAUCGGAACGUGCCCAGUCGUGGGGGAUAACGUAGCGAAAGCUACGCUAAUACCGCAUACGAUCUAUGGAUGAAAGCGGGGGAUCGCAAGACCUCGCGCGAUUGGAGCGGCCGAUAUCAGAUUAGGUAGUUGGUGAGGUAAAGGCUCACCAAGCCGACGAUCUGUAGCUGGUCUGAGAGGACGACCAGCCACACUGGGACUGAGACACGGCCCAGACUCCUACGGGAGGCAGCAGUGGGGAAUUUUGGACAAUGGGCGCAAGCCUGAUCCAGCAAUGCCGCGUGCAGGAUGAAGGCCCUCGGGUUGUAAACUGCUUUUGUACGGAACGAAAAGGUUUCUCUUAAUACGAGGAGCUCAUGACGGUACCGUAAGAAUAAGCACCGGCUAACUACGUG
rnacentral:rRNA from 1 species